rnacentral:lncRNA from 1 species
AGUAUCCGUUGUGAAAGACAGCUGAUUUAUAAGAGCGUGAGGAAACAAGGCAGUGGAGCCCAUUUUUAUUGGUUUCGGAAACUGAUAUGCAAUUACUGCACCAUCAGUGGAAAAAUCGUCACAGAGAUGAACGAGACAUCCUGCCGCAUGACGGGAGACUUGAAUAAACCACCUGACAAAGUCGAACUAUUUUUCCGCUUCGAAAUAAACCGACCUCUUCUGAUAG